rnacentral:rRNA from 1 species
AGGUUACUGCUAUCGGUGUUCGCCUAAGCCAUGCGAGUCAUAUGUUCGUAAGAACAUGGCGUACUGCUCAGUAACACGUGGAUAACCUGCCCUUGGGUCCGGCAUAACCCCGGGAAACUGGGGAUAAUUCCGGAUAACGCACAUAUGCUGGAAUGCUUUUUGCGUAAAAUGGAUUCGUCUGCCCAAGGAUGGGUCUGCGGCCUAUCAGGUAGUAGUGGGUGUAAUGUACCUACUAGCCUACGACGGGUACGGGUUGUGAGAGCAAGAGCCCGGAGAUGGAUUCUGAGACAUGAAUCCAGGCCCUACGGGGCGCAGCAGGCGCGAAAACUUUACAAUGCGGGAAACCGUGAUAAGGGGACACCGAGUGCCAGCAUCCUAUGCUGGCUGUCCGGGUGUGUAAAAUACACCUGUUAGCAAGGGCCGGGCAAGACCGGUGCCAGCCGCCGCGGUAACACCGGCGGCCCGAGUGGUGAUCGUGAUUAUUGGGUCUAAAGGGUCCGUAGCCGGUUUGGUCAGUCCUCCGGGAAAUCUGACAGCUUAACUGUUAGGCUUUCGGAGGAUACUGCCAGACUUGGAACCGGGAGAGGUAAGAGGUACUACAGGGGUAGGAGUGAAAUCUUGUAAUCCCUGUGGGACCACCUGUGGCGAAGGCGUCUUACCAGAACGGGUUCGACGGUGAGGGACGAAAGCUGGGGGCACGAACCGGAUUAGAUACCCGGGUAGUCCCAGCCGUAAACGAUGCUCGCUAGGUGUCAGGCAUGGCGCGACCGUGCCUGGUGCCGCAGGGAAGCCGUGAAGCGAGCCACCUGGGAAGUACGGCCGCAAGGCUGAAACUUAA